AGCAGUCGUGGCCGAGUGGUUAAGGCGUCUGACUCGAAAUCAGAUUCCCUUUGGGAGCGUAGGUUCGAAUCUACCGGCUGC
rnacentral:tRNA from 1 species